rnacentral:rRNA from 1 species
AGAUUGAACGCUGGCGGCAGGCCUAACACAUGCAAGUCGAGCGGUAGAGAGGUGCUUGCAUCUCUUGAGAGCGGCGGACGGGUGAGUAAUGCCUAGGAAUCUGCCUAGUGGUGGGGGAUAACGUUCGGAAACGGACGCUAAUACCGCAUACGUCCUACGGGAGAAAGCGGGGGACCUUCGGGCCUCGCGCCAUUAGAUGAGCCUAGGUCGGAUUAGCUAGUUGGUGAGGUAAUGGCUCACCAAGGCGACGAUCCGUAACUGGUCUGAGAGGAUGAUCAGUCACACUGGAACUGAGACACGGUCCAGACUCCUACGGGAGGCAGCAGUGGGGAAUAUUGGACAAUGGGCGAAAGCCUGAUCCAGCCAUGCCGCGUGUGUGAAGAAGGUCUUCGGAUUGUAAAGCACGUUUAAGUUGGAGGAAGGUUGUAACCUAAUACGUUGACAACUUUGACGUUACCGACAGAAUAAGCACCGGCUAACUUCGUGCCAGCAGCCGUA